GGGGCCAUGGCUUAACGGUAUAGCAACACAUACGAUGCAUGAGGAGGGUCCAGGUUCAAUCCCUGGCAUCCCUG